rnacentral:rRNA from 1 species
AUGUCUGAAAUUGGGGAGAUUAUCGUCGAUAUGGACAAUAAUGAUAACACGGAAAAUCCCGAGGCUCCGGCCGAUGAACCCCCUAUCUUGCAUACUAAAAAGUUUCGAAUCGAUAGUGGUAACAUCAUUGGUAAAGGUGUUAUUCAAGAUUUCUUUACUUGUGCCGGUGCUUUACCUUCCAUGGGUUGUUCUAUUCUUCAUAGAACCAGUAGUCUUGCGGAUGCUAUUGCUAUGCUUGUAGUUGAACUUGAAAGACAAUUUAUGCAUAUGCAUCCUUGCAUAGAAAGAAUUUUCCUAUAA